rnacentral:rRNA from 1 species
UGAGGUCAGGCAAGACCACCCGGCUGAACUA